rnacentral:rRNA from 1 species
UACAGAGGGUGCGAGCGUUUAAUCGGAAUUACUGGGCGUAAAGCGCACGUAGGCGGCUUUGUAAGUUAGAGGUGAAAGCCCAGGGCUUAACCCUGGAAUUGCCUUUAAGACUGCAUCGCUAGAAUUGUGGAGAGGUAAGUGGAAUUCCGAGUGUAGAGGUGAAAUUCGUAGAUAUUCGGAAGAACACCAGUGGCGAAGGCGACUUACUGGACACAUAUUGACGCUGAGGUGCGAAAGCGUGGGGAGCAAACAGG